UACGUAGGGGGCAAGCGUUGUCCGGAUUUAUUGGGCGUAAAGAGCGUGUAGGCGGCCAGACAGGUCAGCUGUGAAAACUCGAGGCUCAACCUCGAGACGUCGGUUGAAACCGUCUGGCUAGAGUCCGGAAGAGGAGAGUGGAAUUCCCGGUGUAGCGGUGAAAUGCGCAGAUAUCGGGAAGAACACCCGUGGCGAAGGCGGCUCUCUGGGACGGUACUGACGCUGAGACGCGGAAAGCGUGGGGAGCGAACGAGG
rnacentral:rRNA from 1 species